rnacentral:lncRNA from 1 species
UCAGGACUUAUGCUUUGACGAGUGGCAGCUGUUCUAUGUGGGCAGUUUGCAACUGUCUCUUGCUGGAGCAGAAGGGCUGCAGGUUGGCUUGGAGACAGCACUGCUUGACAGAAGAUACCUGCUUUCCUAAUGCCCGCAAAAGUACAAGGCCCAAGAGUAUGAACUUCUUGGAGCUGCUUUGCACUUGAUGCAAUCCUGGCCUCAGUAGAGAAGCCUGUCAAGUGGAGCUGGAGGUCUCUGAUAGAGGAGAACAUGGACACCGUGGUGCCAGCAUUCCUCAGGAUGCAGCUCAAAAUUUAAAAACAGUAUAGAGGAAUAUAUGCAAAAGAAAUGUAGAAGGAAAAUAUGCAGAAGCAAGAAACUGCAGGUGAAACCAGGAGAGAAUAGACCCAUCAG